ACAAAUGAAAAUAGUUAUUUUUAUACUUGAAAUAUUAAUAUUUUGCUAAUAUGGCAUUAAAUGUCGCGCGCACUCGCGCUGCGUGUUUCAAUCGCGUAAGUUGAUCUCCUUGCCGAUUUCUUAUCGUUUCAAUAACCCAAAAGUCACAGUAACUUAUAAAAAUACUUUUCCAAUAAAACAUAAGUAUAAUAAAAAUAUUGUAACUUAUAAAAAUACCAUGAUACAAAAUAAAACAUAAUAUAAAAAAAACUUUUGAAGGUCUAUACAAAAUUCGGUACCAGUACCCGUUUUUACCCGUACCAAUACCGAAACUCCCGAAAACCAAAAUCAAUAAAACUGUGUACCGAUACAUGUGCCGAAUACCUAAAAUCGGUACGGGUAUUUGGGAAAAAAAGCCCAUCCCUAAUGGAAACUGUCCAUUGCAGGCGGCGCAUCAUAAAAGUGGUGGAAACCGGGUGAAUGGGUAUAGAGUAAGGAUGGGCCGGGUGCUAACCGGUACUGGUACCGAAAAUACCGGUACCGAAAAUACCUAAAAGUGGGUACCGGUACCGACACCUAAUAUAGAUUAUCGUGUUGGUGAUCUGCUUAGGUUGAGAGUAGUAUUGUUGAUUCAUUGGGAGUGAGUUGUAUCUUUUAAUUUUGUGUAACAAACAUUCGGAUUCGAUGUUUUGUUCUUUAUCUUCUUUUGACAUAUAAACUGCCACAUCCACUAUUUCAAAUUCUAUUCAUAAGUCUAAACCAUCCAUCAUACAGGUCGCACAUCCUAAAGCCAAAGGAGAUCAUCAUGAGGUCAUUCCUUUGCCAAAGCAGCCAAGAUUCUAGUUUAUUCCAGCUUCUGUAAUUGAGAAACAGACUGUGAAGAAAAGAAAUAAGGCACGAGCUGAAGUGUUGAUUAAAUGGAGUGGCUUACCUGUAUUUGAUGCAACGUGGGAGGAUUUGGAGGAAAUGCAAGUUCGAUUUCCUGAUUUUGACUUUCAAUUUUGAGGUCAAAAUUCUUUUGGAAGAGGGAAGUAUUGAUACGGUCAAAUGGUCAAAGCGAGUGAGACAGGGACUUAGGGGGAUAUCUUGUGUAAUAUAGGGACUAAGGUUGUAAUUGUAACUAAUAGUUAGUUAGGUGGUUGUUAGUUCCUGUUAAAUACCGUUGUUAGUGAAUAACAAACUACCGUUGAUUGAUCUUAA